rnacentral:pre_miRNA from 10 species
GCUGCUGGCAGGUGCUCUGACUUCAUUGCACUACUGUAUUGGACAGCUAGCAGUGCAAUAGUAUUGUCAAAGCAUCUGA